rnacentral:lncRNA from 1 species
AGGACCUUGAUCAAUUUUUGUUUGGAUCACCAUUGGAGGACUUCUAUUUUGGAGUCUCAUUGAGAUCACCUUCUUAUCAUACUGCUCGUUGGAGAAAGUAUAAAUUUUUAUCUCUUUGCAUGCUUGAUUUUGUUUUGUUCGACAUCUACAAGGUGAUUCUAGGAUUUUGAUUUUGGUUUGACAGUUUUAAUUGUUAAAACUUUUGAUAUAUAUAUUU